rnacentral:rRNA from 1 species
GGGGGGGGCAAGCGUUGUUCGGAAUUACUGGGCGUAAAGGGCUCGUAGGUGGCCAACUAAGUCGGACGUGAAAUCCCUCGGCUUAACCGGGGAACUGCGUCCGAUACUGGUUGGCUUGAGUUUGGGAGAGGGAUGCGGAAUUCCAGGUGUAGCGGUGAAAUGCGUAGAUAUCUGGAGGAACACCGGUGGCGAAGGCGGCAUCCUGGACCAAUACUGACGCUGAGGAGCGAAAGCCAGGGGAGCAAACAGGAUUAGAUACCCUGGUAGUCCACGCCGUAAACGAUGGGCACUAGGUGCUUGGGGGAGCGACCCUCCGAGUGCCGGCGCUAACGCAUUAAGUGCCCCGCCUGGGGAGUACGGCCGCAAGGCUG